UACGUAGGGUGCAAGCGUUAAUCGGAAUUACUGGGCGUAAAGCGUGCGCAGGCGGUCUUGCAAGACAGAUGUGAAAUCCCCGGGCUCAACCUGGGAACUGCAUUUGUGACUGCAAGGCUGGAGUGCGGCAGAGGGGGAUGGAAUUCCGCGUGUAGCAGUGAAAUGCGUAGAUAUCGGAAGGAACACCAGUGGCGAAAGCGACUUCCUGGACCAGUACUGACGUUCAUGUGCGAAA
rnacentral:rRNA from 1 species